CCUUCUCGAAUGAUGAAGUAUUUUCGGAUGUAAAAACAUUUAUUGUCUUGUCCGAGAGCGCAAAACCGUGUGGACAUUUUCCGUUGCCUUCCUUCUGACUCUCACC
rfam:Aureobasidium subglaciale EXF-2481 unplaced genomic scaffold scaffold_12, whole genome shotgun sequence.